GAUAGGAGCAUAUUUAUGCACCUUAGUUAACUAGUUCUUAUGCAUUUUCGUUAUGUUUUCUUAGUUUAUUCUUUUAAGCUAGUUUCAUAUGUUUUUAGGUUUAAGGGCAUAUUACAUAAAAGGAUGCAAAUUGGAGCCUUUCGGAGCAAAAUGGAGCUUAGAUUGGAAAGUACAUGCUUGGAGCACAAGGAAUGGACGAGUUUGAAGGUCAAAGGAGCUUAAGAAAUGAAGAAAUGAAAGUGAAGAACAAAGAAUUCAGAAUUGGAAACCAAAGUUUCUAAAGUUGGAAGUUUCUAUUCUUGGAGGUUUCCAUUUUUGAGAGUUUCUAUCCUUGGCUUUGGGCUUUUAGAUGACCUAUCCUUUUCCCCUAACCCUAGCCGCACCUAGGCCUCUAGAAUAUCUGAUUUCCUUGCCUUGCAAGGCAUUCUAGAAGGCCCAUCUCUAACCCUAACCCUAGCCGCACCUUAGGCCUUAUUCCCACUAAAAAUCUAAUUGUUUUAACCUAAUUUCUGAUGGGUUUGGGUUUUAGAGGCCCUAAUCUGAUUGCCCUAGGGUUUUGGAUGCCUAUUUAUACACAUUCUAAACCCUUGGCCGAACACCAUCUCCCAUUCACAUCAUUCACGCCAGAUUUGUUCCUUGCUCUCUGCCGCACCUUUUCAUCACCAUAGUCCAUAAUUUCUGCCCAAAAACAACCCUAGCCGCACCACUCAUCAACCCUAAACCGUUCCCUACCAUUCCCCAUCCAUUCUAGACCCUAAAUACCACCCAAAACCUGUUCUAAACUUCUCUGCCGCAACAAGGAGGAAGGAGAAAUCGUUGAUGAUCUUGCUGCCAAGUUGGAGCGUUCUAGGUGUUUUCUUUCUUUGGAUUUUAAUUUCUAAUUUUAUGUAUCUUUGCUUUGUGAGUAUGAGGAACUAAAACCCCCCUUGGCUAGGGGGGGAUUCAAAACCAUGAUUAUAUAUGUGAAAUAAGUUGAUUCCUUUCAGUUAUCGUUGCAUAAGUCGUGAAUACAAUUUGCUUAACCGUUUGAUUUAGAACUUAUUCUUGUAUGUUGAUUGAGAGUGCACGCUUAAUUUGCAUGCUUGAAUUUGGUGCUAGGAUAUAAGUUUGUUUCACCUAAUCGUUAUGAAUUUAUAUUCGCAAGUAGUGAAGAUCGCUAGUCACGAUCGUGUUAAGUAGAUUCCUGGCAAGAGUAUCAUGCUUUUCAUAGUUACGAAUGCCUUGUCAAUGCUUAUGAUUUCCAAAGAACGUAAUGAUUCUAACUUGUAUCUUUAUCAUGCUGUUCAUAUAGAGAACUUGUU
rnacentral:lncRNA from 1 species